UCGCUCUAACCCGUAGAUCCGAACUUGUGUGUGGCGUCUGUGCCCAUUGUACAAACCACAAGUUCAUCUCUAUGGGUCUGAGUUGG
rnacentral:pre_miRNA from 1 species